UUUUUCUGCUAGGGGCGCCUUAUGGCUGAGAAGUAACCCUUUGAACCUGAUCUAGAUCAUACUAGCGUAGGGAAGUAGGUAAGAUGAUUA
rnacentral:ncRNA from 2 species